UUAAAGAAAUAUUAGAUGCAUGUAGAUAUUAUAUAAAAAAGACAAAUAGAAGGGUUACAUUUGAAUAUUCUCUUAUAAAAGGGGUAAAUGACUCAGAAAAAGAAGCAAAGGCAUUAGCUAAGCUCCUAAAAGGUAUGCUAUGUCAUGUAAAUUUAAUUCCAAUAAAUAAAGUUGAAGAAAGAGAAUACGAAAAGCCAGAUAAAGCAUUUAUUUAUAAAUUUAGGGAUAGUUUAGAGAAAAACAAUAUACCUGCCACAGUUAGGAUGUCUAUGGGUUCUGAUAUUAGUGGAGCUUGUGGGCAAUUGAGAAGAAAAUACAAGUAAUUUGUAAGGAGGAAGUCGUAUGGUUUAUAGUUGUGCCUCCCAUAUAGGAAAAAUAAGAAAAAACAAUGAAGACUAUUGUGAGGGAGAAGUUAUAGAUACAGAACAUGGUCCAAUAGGAAUAUUUGCCAUAGCUGAUGGAAUGGGUGGACAUAAAAAAGGUGAAGUCGCCAGUAAAUUAGCAGUAGAAAAUAUAAUUGAUUUUCUAAAAGAAAACUUAUUACAACAUGAUAAUGUAAAAAUAGACUAUAUAGAUGAUAUAUUAAAACAGGCUUAUAAUAAUGUAAACUCAAUUGUGCACAAAAAAUCUAUGGAAGAUAUAGAAUUUGAAGGAAUGGGAACUACAUUAGUUACAGCUAUAGUGUAUAAUAAUGUCUUAUAUGUGGCAAAUGUUGGAGAUAGCAGAUGUUAUUUGUUAACAGAUGAAAAAUUUGAUAAAAUAACUAUAGACCAUUCCGUGGUUGAAGAACUUAUGAUGGCUCAUGUCAUUACAGAAGAAGAGGCAAGAAGACAUCCACAGAGGAAUAGAAUAACUAGAGCAAUUGGGACAGAUGAUAUGGUUGUUGUAGAUAUUUUUAAGAAAGAAAUCAAAAAAAGUGAUAUAAUACUUCUUGCGACAGAUGGAUUAACUGGGUUUAUUGAUGAUGAAGAUAUAAGAGAUUUAAUAUUAGAUUAUGAAUAUGAGAGAACUAGUAAUAUAAGUGAAGAAUUGAUAAGUAUGGCCAAUGAUGUUUCUGGUAAAGAUAAUGUUUCGGUUAUAGUGAUAAAAGUAUAAUUAGGACGGUGAUAUUGUGGGAGAUACAAUUUUAGGAAAUCGAUAUGAAAUCAUCAGGAAGAUUGGUGAUGGAGGAAUGGCCUUUGUAUAUGAGGCUAAAGACAGAUUAUUAAACAGGACUGUUGCACUUAAAGUACUUAGACCUGAAUUUGUAGAUGAUGAUGAAUUUUUAACAAAGUUUAAAAGAGAGGCAGAGGCAGUAGCAAGUCUUUCCCAUCCAAAUAUAGUAAAUGUUUAUGAUGUUGGUGAAGAUGGAAAGGUUCACUACAUUGUAAUGGAGUUUGUAGAUGGAAAAAAUCUAAAAGAGAUUAUACAAGAUGAAGGUAUAUUAGAUGAAUAUACUGCAUUAGAUAUAACAAAACAAAUAGCUAUGGCACUUAGUGCCGCGCACAAAAAGGGGAUUAUACAUAGAGAUAUAAAACCUCAUAAUAUCCUCAUAUCGAAUGAAGGAAGAGUAGUAAAAGUGGCUGACUUUGGUAUAGCCAAAGCUGUUUCAAAUUCAACAAUGACUAAUAUUGGUAGUAUAAUAGGUUCAGUGCAUUAUUUUUCGCCAGAACAAGCUAAAGGUAAAUUUGUAACUAAUAAUGCUGAUUUGUAUUCUCUAGGUAUAGUUUUAUAUGAAAUGUUGAUAGGAAAAGUUCCAUUUAGGGGAGACAGUCCAAUUUCUAUAGCACUUCAACACAUUAAUGAUGAUAUAGACUUUACAUCAGAAGAAAAAGUUAGGAUUCCUCAAAGUGUAAGAACUACAAUAAAAAAGCUUACAGAAAAAUCUAGUGCAGAUAGAUAUCAAACUGCUGAAGAAUUGAUAGAAGAUAUAGAGUAUAUAGAAAAAAAUAUUGAUUUAGAUUUUAUAAAAGAAUAUGAUGAUUUUGCAACUAAGAAAAUUGAUGAAAAGGAAAUUAAUAAAGUUGUAAAUCCAAUACUUGCAAAACCAGCCCCUGAAAAAGUGGUUAAGCCUGUUGAAGUAGCUGAUUUGGAUGAUGAUGAAGAUUACUAUGAUGAUUUUUAUGAAGAAGAUGAAGAAGAGGAAGAGAUAAUGAGAGCUAAAAAGAAUCAGAGAACUAAAAGUGCUCCAAGUAAGAGAACUAAGAAAAAGAAGAAAAAACAGGAAAGCCCAAAAUCUAGAAGAAGAUUAAAAGUAAUUGCAACUGUUUUGAUAUUGAUAUUGUGUGCUCAAGUAUUCUUAGCAUAUAAGUUUUUAUUUUCUGGAGGGUUUGGCAAUAAAUCUUUGACUGUUCCUAAUCUUGUAAAUAUGACAUUAGAAGAAGCUCAAAGUGCUGUUGAAAAAGAAGGGUUAUACCUAAGUGUAAAAAGCGAAGAGUAUAAUAGUGAAGUUGAUGAAAAUUGUAUAAUAUCACAGACACCUGAAGGUGGAAGUACAAAUAUCAAAAAGGGUGAUACUAUAAAUGUUGUUGUAAGUAAAGGUUCAAGUCAGGCAUCGGUUCCAAAUGUAGUGGGACUUACUCUAAGUAAUGCAAAACAACUUAUUGAAGAAAAUAACUUAAAAGUGGGAACUGUUAAGUAUGAAUAUAGUUCAAUAUAUAAAGAAGGAACAGUUUUAAAUCAGAGUCCAGGAGCUGGUUCAUCAAGAGUGCAAGAAGGUGACGAGAUAAGUUUAUAUGUAAGUAAAGGUUCAGAAAAAUCAAAUACACAGACUCCAACAGUACCAAAUAAAACACCAACAACACCAAAUAAUGAUACACCAACAGAACCUGGUUCAAACUCAGGAAGUAGUGGAGGAAGCUCAGGAGGUUCAAAUUCAGGAAAUAGUGGAGGGAACUCAGGAAAUAAUGGAAACAAC
rnacentral:rRNA from 1 species